rnacentral:sRNA from 1 species
ACCUUACCAAACUGUUGCCUCGGCGGGGUCACGCCCCGGGUGCGUCGCAGCCCCGGAACCAGGCGCCCGCCGGAGGGACCAACCAAACUCUUUCUGUAAUCCCCUCGCGGACGUUAUUUUUACAGCUCUGAGCAAAAAUUCAAAAUGAAUCAAAACUUUCAACAACGGAUCUCUUGGUUCUGGCAUCGAUGAAGAACGCAGCGAAAUGCGAUAAGUAAUGUGAAUUGCACAAUUCAUUGAAUCAUCGAAUCUUUGAACGCACAUUGCGCCCGCCAGUAUUCUGGCGGGCAUGCCUGUCCGAGCGUCAUUUCAACCCUCGAACCCCUCCGGGGGUCCGGCGUUGGGGAUCGGGAACCCCUAAGACGGGAUCCCGGCCCCGAAAUACAGUGGCGGUCUCGCCGCAGCCUCUCAUGCGCAGUAGUUUGCACAACUCGCACCGGGAGCGCGGCGCGUCCACGUCCGUAAAACACCCAACUUCUGAAAUGCGGCGAGUGAAGCGGCAACAGCUCAAAUUUGAAAUCUGGCCCCUAGGGUCCGAGUUGUAAUUUGUAGAGGAUGCUUUUGGUGAGGUGCCGCCCGAGUUCCCUGGAACGGGACGCCGCAGAGGGUGAGAGCCCCGUCUGGCUGGCCACCGAGCCUCUGUAAAGCUCCUUCGACGAGUCGAGUAGUUUGGGAAUGCUGCUCAAAAUGGGAGGUAUAUGUCUUCUAAAGCUAAAUAUUGGCCAGAGACCGAUAGCGCACAAGUAGAGUGAUCGAAAGAUGAAAAGCACCUUGAAAAGAGGGUUAAACAGUACGUGAAAUUGUUGAAAGGGAAGCGCUUGUGACCAGACUUGGGCGCGGCGGAUCAUCCGGGGUUCUCCCCGGUGCACUUCGCCGCGUUCAGGCCAGCAUCAGUUCGGCGCGGGGGAAAAAGGCUUCGGGAACGUGGCUCCUCCGGGAGUGUUAUAGCCCGUUGCAUAAUACCCUGCGCUGGACUGAGGACCGCGCAUCUGCAAGGAUGCUGGCGUAAUGGUCACCAGCGACCCGUCUUGAAACACGGACCAAGGAGUCGUCUUCGUAUGCGAGUGUUCGGGUGUCAAACCCCUACGCGUAAUGAAAGUGAACGCAGGUGAGAGCUUCGGCGCAUCAUCGACCGAUCCUGAUGUUCUCGGAUGGAUUUGAGUAAGAGCAUA